UAACGCGAGGAACCUUACCAGGUCUUGACAUCUUUUGAUAACCUAAGAGAUUAGGUGUUCCCUUCGGGGACAGAAUGACAGGUGGUGCAUGGUUGUCGUCAGCUCGUGUCGUGAGAUGUUGGGUUAAGUCCCGCAACGAGCGCAACCCUUAUUGUCAGUUGCCAGCAUUAAGUUGGGCACUCUGGCAAGACUGCCGGUGACAAACCGGAGGAAGGUGGGGAUGACGUCAAAUCAUCAUGCCCCUUAUGACCUGGGCUACACACGUGCUACAAUGGACGAUACAACGAGUCGCUAGACCGCGAGGUUAAGCUAAUCUCUGAAAGUCGUUCUCAGUUCGGAUUGCAGGCUGCAACUCGCCUGCAUGAAGUCGGAAUCGCUAGUAAUCGCGGAUCAGC
rnacentral:rRNA from 1 species